AGAGUUUGAUCCUGGCUCAGAACGAACGCUGGCGGCGUGCCUAACACAUGCAAGUCGAACGGACUUAUUAGGAAGUAGCAAUACGGAAUAAUAAGUUAGUGGCAGACGGGUGAGUAACACGUGGGUAACCUACCCCUUGGCGGGGAAUAACCAUUCGAAAGGGUGGCUAAUACCGCAUAAGACCACGUCUCUGAUGGGACGAGGUAAAAGACGAAAGUCACCGAGGGAGGGGCCCGCGGCCGAUUAGCUAGUUGGUGGGGUAAUGGCUCACCAAGGCAACGAUCGGUAGCUGGUCUGAGAGGAUGAUCAGCCACACUGGUUCUUAGACACGGACCAGACUCCUACGGGAGGCAGCAGUGGGGAAUAUUGCGCAAUGGACGAAAGUCUGACGCAGCAACGCCGCGUGGGUGAAGAAGGCCUUCGGGUCGUAAAGCCCUGUCAGGUGGGAAGAAACCUGCGAAUAGCAGCUGACGGUACCACCAAAGGAAGCACCGGCUAACUCCGUGCCAGCAGCCGCGGUAAUACGGAGGGUGCAAGCGUUGUUCGGAAUCACUGGGCGUAAAGGGCGCGUAGGCGGCCGUACAAGUCUGAUGUGAAAGCCCGAGGCUUAACCUCGGAAGUGCAUUGGAAACUGUACGGCUUGAGUUCGGGAGAGGAGGGCAGAAUUCCUGGUGUAGGGGUGAAAUCCGUAGAUAUCAGGAGGAAAACCAGUGGCGAAGGCGGCCCUCUGGAACGAAACUGACGUUGAGGCGCGAAAGCGUGGGUAGCAAACAGGAUUAGAUACCCUGGUAGUCC
rnacentral:rRNA from 1 species